rnacentral:rRNA from 1 species
AGCGAACGUUAGCGGCGGGCCUAACACAUGCAAGUCGAGCGAGAAAGGGGGUUCGCCCCCGAGUACAGCGGCGGACGGGUGAGUAACACGUAGGUAAUUUUCCCCUUGAGCGGGGGACAACGUUCCGAAAGGGACGCUAAUACCGCAUAAGUUCUUGGGUGCUUCGGCACUGGAGAGGAAAGCUAGGCCGCAAGGUCUGGCACUCGAGGAGAAGCCUGCGUCGCAUCAGCUAGUUGGUGGGGGUAAUGGCCUACCAAGGCAAAGACGCGUAGCUGGUCUGAGAGGAUGAUCAGCCACACUGGGACUGAGACACGGCCCAGACUCCUACGGGAGGCAGCAGUGGGGAAUAUUGGGCAAUGGGCGAAAGCCUGAUCCAGCAAUGCCGCGUGAGUGAUGAAGGCCUUAGGGUUGUAAAGCUCUUUUACCCGGGAUGAUAAUGACAGUACCGGGAGAAUAAGCCCCGGCUAACUCCGUGCCAGCAGCCGCGGUAA